AUUGAACGCUGGCGGCAUGCCUUACACAUGCAAGUCGAACGGCAGCACGGGAGCAAUCCUGGUGGCGAGUGGCGAACGGGUGAGUAAUAUAUCGGAACGUGCCCAGCCGUGGGGGAUAACGCAGCGAAAGCUGCGCUAAUACCGCCUCCGACCUAUGGAUGAAAGCGGGGGAUCGCAAGACCUCGACAGAUUGGAGCGGCCGAUAUCAGAUUAGCUAGUUGGUGAGGUAAAGGCUCGCCAAGGCGACGAUCUGUAGCUGGUAUGAGAGGACGACCGGCCACACUGGAACUGAGACACGGUCCAGACUCCUACGGGAGGCAGCAGUGGGGAAUUUUGGACAAUGGGCGAAAGCCUGAUCCAGCAAUGCCGCGUGCAGGAUGAAGGCCUUCGGGUUGUAAACUGCUUUUGUACGGAACGAAACGGUGAGCUCUAAUACAGUUUGCUAAUGACGGUACCGUAAGAAUAAGCACCGGCUAACUACGUGCCAGCCGCCGCAGUAAUAC
rnacentral:rRNA from 1 species